GGGGAUUUAGCUUUGUGGCAUAAGUGCCUGCCUUGCAAGCAGUCAGUCGUGAGUUCAGUCCCCG
rfam:Cavia porcellus supercont2_18 genomic scaffold, whole genome shotgun sequence.